GGGUUAGGGUUAGAUUCCCAGGUUGGGGUUAGUGCUGGGGUUAGGGUUAGGGGUCAGCGCUAUGGUUAGGGUUAGGGUGAGCGCCAUGGUUAGGGUUAGGGCUAGAUGCCAGGCUGGGGUUAUCAUCAGCAGCCGCCCGGACUGCGAGUCGGCUGAUUUUUUGCAGGUCGGGACCCAGGAAACGCGGCGACAGUGGACGUGGCACUGGCUGGAUAGGUUGGGGAAACAAUCCCGUCUCCCCUAAAUUGCCCUACUUGGGUCGGCGGGGAGCGGGGAAUGCACGGGCCUACGCCCCGUCGGACACGCUCCCCAGGUCCCGAAAGGCUGGCGGCUACUUCCGCCAGCUGAACCGUAUUUGGUCUGGUGUGUAUUAAUUUGUAAUGAAGUUCAUGUAGUCCUAUUUGACUUACUCACACAUACACAAUUCAUACAUGAUCUAUAUUUGAUCUAUGUAUCCCUACAAUGUGCCUGCUGCGUCGACGUUUCGACCUAAUUUGGUCUUCUUCAGGACUGGGCACAUGUAACAGCUAAGGCUGCUGGGCCCCAAUUCAUAGGGGUGGACCAGCCAGCAGCCAGAAAGAAAUGAAAAGCCCUACCAACUUGUCUCCCUUUUAUAUCCCCUCCGCCAAAAAUUAGACUGAAUUUACUUGUAUUUAAGUUAUUUUCUACUCUAUUUAGUUUUUGAAAUCUUAACCCUUUCUGCACCGCUUGUGCUUUAAAUCCAUAUUAAUUAUGUUUAUUCACAUAUUUGUGCUUUUAAUAAACAAAUUAAUAGGUAUUUUUGAUCCCAAUAUUAGGGUUAGGGUCCUGCUUGACCUUUGACCUCUGUGGCCUGCUUGGCCGUUGGUCAUUAAGUUGCCUCUAAUGGUUAGGGUUAGGGCGAGUCCCAGGUUAGGGUUAGAAUCCCAUACUAGGGUUAGGGUUAGGGUUAGAUUCCCAGGUUGGGGUUAGUGCUGGGGUUAGGGUUAGGGGUCAGCGCUAUGGUUAGGGUUAGGGUGAGCGCCAUGGUCAGGGUUAGGGCUAGAUGCCAGGCUGGGGUUAUCAUCAGCAGCCGCCCGGACUGCGAGUCGGCUGAUUUUUUGCAGGUCGGGACCCAGGAAACGCGGCGACAGUGGACGUGGCACUGGCUGGAUAGGUUGGGGAAACAAUCCCGUCUCCCCUAAAUUGCCCUACUUGGGUCGGCGGGGAGCGGGGAAUGCACGGGCCUACGCCCCGUCGGACACGCUCCCCAGGUCCCGAAAGGCUGGCGGCUACUUCCGCCAGCUGAACCGUAUUUGGUCUGGUGUGUAUUAAUUUGUAAUGAAGUUCAUGUAGUCCUAUUUGACUUACUCACACAUACACAAUUCAUACAUGAUCUAUAUUUGAUCUAUGUAUCCCUACAAUGUGCCUGCUGCGUCGACGUUUCGACCUAAUUUGGUCUUCUUCAGGACUGGGCACAUGUAACAGCUAAGGCUGCUGGGCCCCAAUUCAUAGGGGUGGACCAGCCAGCAGCCAGAAAGAAAUGAAAAGCCCUACCAACUUGUCUCCCUUUUAUAUCCCCUCCGCCAAAAAUUAGACUGAAUUUACUUGUAUUUAAGUUAUUUUCUACUCUAUUUAGUUUUUGAAAUCUUAACCCUUUCUGCACCGCUUGUGCUUUAAAUCCAUAUUAAUUAUGUUUAUUCACAUAUUUGUGCUUUUAAUAAACAAAUUAAUAGGUAUUUUUGAUCCCAAUAUUAGGGUUAGGGUCCUGCUUGACCUUUGACCUCUGUGGCCUGCUUGGCCGUUGGUCAUUAAGUUGCCUCUAAUGGUUAGGGUUAGGGCGAGUCCCAGGUUAGGGUUAGAAUCCCAUACUAGGGUUAGGGUUAGGGUUAGAUUCCCAGGUUGGGGUUAGUGCUGGGGUUAGGGUUAGGGGUCAGCGCUAUGGUUAGGGUUAGGGUGAGCGCCAUGGUUAGGGUUAGGGCUAGAUGC
rnacentral:lncRNA from 1 species